rnacentral:rRNA from 1 species
GGAAUAUUGGACAAUGGGCGAAAGCCUGAUCCAGCAAUGCCGCGUGAGUGAUGAAGGCCUUAGGGUUGUAAAGCUCUUUUACCCGGGAUGAUAAUGACGGUACCGGGAGAAUAAGCCCCGGCUAACUCCGUGCCCGCCGCCGCGGUAAUACGGAGGGGGCUAGCGUUGUUCGGAAUUACUGGGCGUAAAGCGCGCGUAGGCGGCUUUGUAAGUCAGGGGUGAAAGCCCAGAGCUCAACUCUGGAAUAGCCUUUGAGACUGCAUCGCUUGAAUCCAGGAGAGGUGAGUGGAAUUCCGAGUGUAGAGGUGAAAUUCGUAGAUAUUCGGAAGAACACCAGUGGCGAAGGCGGCUCACUGGACUGGUAUUGACGCUGGGGUGCGAAAGCGUGGGGAGCAAACAGG